rnacentral:rRNA from 1 species
GACGAACGCUGGCGGCGUGCUUAACACAUGUAAGUCGAACGGAAAGGCCCUGCUUUUGUGGGGUGCUCGAGUGGCGAACGGGUGAGUAACACGUGAGUAACCUGCCCUUGACUUUGUGAUAACUUCAGGAAACUGGGGCUAAUACCGGAUAGGAGCUCUUGCUGCAUGGUGGGGUUUGGAAAGUUUCGGCGGUUGGGGAUGGACUCGCGGCUUAUCAGCUUGUUGGUGGGGUAGUGGCUUACCAAGGAUUUGACGGGUAGCCGGCCUGAGAGGGUGACCGGCCACAUUGGGACUGAGAUACGGCCCAGACUCCUACGGGAGGCAGCAGUGGGGAAUAUUGCACAAUGGGCGGAAGCCUGAUGCAGCAACGCCGCGUGCGGGAUGACGGCCUUCGGGUUGUAAACCGCUUUCGCCUGUGACGAAGCGUGAGUGACGGUAAUGGGUAAAGAAGCAGGGGCUAACUACGUG